rnacentral:tRNA from 1 species
AUCAAAGUGGCACAGCGGAAGCGUGGGGGCCCAUAACCCAUAGGUCUCAGGAUCAAAACCUGGUUUUGAUU